AACGAACGCUGGCGGCAUGCCUAACACAUGCAAGUCGAACGAGACCUUCGGGUCUAGUGGCGCACGGGUGCGUAACGCGUGGGAACCUGCCCUUAGGCUCGGAAUAACUCCCCUAAAGGGGUGCUAAUACCGGAUAAUGUCUUCUGACCAAAGAUUUAUCGCCUUUGGAUGGGCACGCGUUGGUUUAGCUAGUCGGUAGGGUAAAAGCCUACCAAGGAGACGAUCCAUAGCUGGUCUGAGAGGAUGAUCAGCCACACUGGGACUGAGACACGGCCCAGACUCCUACGGGAGGCAGCAGUGGGGAAUAUUGGACAAUGGGCGAAAGCCUGAUCCAGCAAUGCCGCGUGAGUGAUGAAGGCCUUAGAGUUGUAAAGCUCUUUUACCCGGGAUGAUAAUGACGGUACCGGGAGAAUAAGCACCGGCUAACUCCGUG
rnacentral:rRNA from 1 species